rnacentral:rRNA from 1 species
GACGUAGGGCGCGAGCGUUGUCCGGAUUUAUUGGGCGUAAAGAGCUCGUAGGCGGUCUGUCGCGUCGGCUGUGAAAUCCCGAGGCUCAACCUCGGGUCUGCAGUCGAUACGGGCAAACUAGAGUAUUGCAGGGGAGACUGGAAUUCCUGGUGUAGCGGUGAAAUGCGCAGAUAUCAGGAGGAACACCGGUGGCGAAGGCGGGUCUCUGGGCAGUUCCUGACACUGAGACACGAAGGCCAGGGGAGCAAACGGG